UGCAUGCUUUUACAGUAUGAAAAUUGGUGAUUUAUAAUAACUUAGCAAAUCGCAUAGUGAAAACAGGCGAUAAAUCAUUCAAGUUUCUGACCUAUCAGCUUUCGACGGUAUGGUAUUGGCUUACCGUGGCAGUGACGGUUAACGGGGGAUUAGGGUUCGAUUCCGGAGAGGGAGCCUGAGAAACGGCUACCACAUCUAAGGAAGGCAGCAGGCGCGCAAAUUACCCAAUUCUAACAGUUUGAGAGAGGUAGUAACAAGAAAUAACAAUACAAGGCAGUUAAAAUGCUUUGUAAUUGGAAUGAUAGAAAUUUAAACCCUUUUUAAAGUAUCAAUUGGAGGGCAAGUCUGGUGCCAGCAGCCGCGGUAAUUCCAGCUCCAAUAGCGUAUAUUAAAAUUGUUGCAGUUAAAAAGCUCGUAGUUGAAGUUCUGCUAAAAGUAACCGGUCUGCUUUGAAUAAAAGUGGUAUCUUGGUAUGUAUUUAGCAAUGAUGUCCUUUGAAGUGUUUUUUACUUUAUUGUAAUAAAGCAUAUUCAGGACUUUUACUUUGAGAAAAUUAGAGUGUUUCUAGCAGGCCAACGCUUUGAAUACUGCAGCA
rnacentral:rRNA from 1 species